AACGAACGCUGGCGGCAGGCUUAACACAUGCAAGUCGAGCGCCCCGCAAGGGGAGCGGCAGACGGGUGAGUAACGCGUGGGAAUCUACCCAUCACUACGGAACAACUCCGGGAAACUGGAGCUAAUACCGUAUACGUCCUUCGGGAGAAAGAUUUAUCGGUGAUGAAUGAGCCCGCGUUGGAUUAGCUAGUUGGUGGGGUAAUGGCCUACCAAGGCGACGAUCCUUAGCUGGUCUGAGAGGAUGAUCAGCCACAUUGGGACUGAGACACGGCCCGACCUCCAACGCGAGGCAGCAGUGGGGAAUAUUUGAAAAUGGGGUAAAUCCUGAUCCAGCCAUGCCGCGGGAGUGAUGAAGGCCCUAGGGUUGUAAAGCUCUUUCACCCUUGAAGAUAAUGACGGUAACCGGAUAAGAAGCCCCGGCUAACUUCGUGCCAGCCGCCGCCGUAAGAC
rnacentral:rRNA from 1 species